AGCAGCCGCGGGAAUACGAAGGGGGCUAGCGUUGCUCGGAAUUACUGGGCGUAAAGGGCGCGUAGGCGGACAGUUCAGUCGGGGGUGAAAGCCCGGGGCUCAACCUCGGAAUUGCCUUCGAUACUGGCUGUCUUGAGCAUGAGAGAGGUGUGUGGAACUCCGAGUGUAGAGGUGAAAUUCGUAGAUAUUCGGAAGAACACCAGUGGCGAAGGCGACACACUGGCUCAUUACUGACGCUGAGGCGCGAAAGCGUGGGGAGCAAACAGGAUUAGAUACCCGCGUAGUCCCUGUCUCUUAUACA
rnacentral:rRNA from 1 species